rnacentral:rRNA from 1 species
CUCCAAUAGCGUAUAUUAAAGUUGUUGCAGUUAAAAAGCUCGUAGUUGGAUUUCUGGCAGGAGCGGUCGGCCACGCGCUCUGCGCGUGAGUUUGCACUGUCUCUGGCCAUCCUCGGGGAGAUCGCGUUUGGCAUUAAGUUGUCGGGCGUGGGAUACCGUCGUUUACUGUGAGAAAAUUAGAGUGUUUAAAGCAGCUUAUG